CAAAAACGAACGUUAGUCGAACGUUGUCGACCAGGAGGGCUUCAAAUACUCACUCGACUAUUAAACGACAAGGGACGUGUGAGACGCUUCUUACGCGUCACAACUUUUAUACCCGGCACUCAGUACUACUUCUGCACCUUAGCGGUGUUUUGUCAAAUUUUAUAUUUUUUCUUCAUCUGUCAUCUACAUCUACAACACUUCUCACACCAACACGCUCCUUUAGCUCGCCCCCCUUCCCUAGACCCACACACUGCAGCCUCGCGGCAGAGGCAGAGGAAGCGCCCGCACAUAAAAAAAAAACAAAUAUAAGCUGCGGGACGGGGUGGGUUAAAAGUCGGCAGAGGCAAAGGAAGAGGGACGGCAGAGGCAGAGGCCGAGUGAAGCAGAAGCAGAGUGUGAAUGAGAGAAUGUGAAAAGAACAACAAAAGCUUCUGGACAGGGUGGGUUUAGCCACUGCACAUUAAUUUCUUCAUUUUGGCUAUAAUAAUGAUCCAAUCGGAUCUCAAUUUGGUGAUCUGAUAGAUAUGGCCAUUCCCUACGGAAUGGGGGUUUUAGUUUUCUUUUAUCUUCAAAAUGUUUAUUCUUGAUCUAUUACUAUUACUAAAUGUAAUGAAUGG
rnacentral:lncRNA from 1 species